UACGUAGGGGGCGAGCGUUGUCCGGAAUUAUUGGGCGUAAAGAGCGUGUAGGCGGUUCGGUAAGUCUGCCGUGAAAACCUGGGGCUCAACCCCGGGCGUGCGGUGGAUACUGCCGGGCUAGAGGGUGGUAGAGGCGAGUGGAAUUCCCGGUGUAGCGGUGAAAUGCGCAGAUAUCGGGAGGAACACCAGUAGCGAAGGCGGCAUCCUGGACCAAUAUUGACGCUGAGGAGCGAAAGCCAGGGGAGCAAACGGG
rnacentral:rRNA from 1 species